rnacentral:rRNA from 1 species
CAGUCGCCGCGGGAAUACGUAGGGUGCAAGCGUUAAUCGGAAUUACUGGGCGUAAAGCGUGCGCAGGCGGUUGUGUAAGACAGGUGUGAAAUCCCCGGGCUUAACCUGGGAACUGCGCUUGUGACUGCACAGCUAGAGUAUGGCAGAGGGGGGUGGAAUUCCACGUGUAGCAGUGAAAUGCGUAGAGAUGUGGAGGAACACCGAUGGCGAAAGCACUCUGCUGGGCCGACACUGACACUGAGAGACGAAAGCUAGGGGAGCAAAUGGGAUUAGAUACCCCAGUAGUCCCUGUCUCUUAUAC